GACGAACGCUGGCGGCGUGCUUAACACAUGCAAGUCGAACGAAGUGGCGAACGGGUGAGUAACGCGUAUUCCACCUGCCCUUCAGUGGGGGACAACAGUUGGAAACGACUGCUAAUACCGCAUACUGAAGUAGGGGAUUGCGUCUGAUGAGCUAGUUGGAGGGGUCACCGCCCACCAAGGCGAUGAUCGGUAGCCGGUCUGGAAGGAUGAACGGCCACAUUGGGACUGAGACACGGCCCAGACUCCUACGGGAGGCAGCAGGGGGGAAUCUGCCGAAAUGGACGAAAGUCUGACGGAGCAACGCCGCGUGAGUGAUGACGGCCUUCGGGUUGUAAAGCUCUGUUAAUCGGGACGCGGUACCGGAAUAGAAAGCCACGGCUAACUACGUGCCAGCAGCCGCGGUAAUUC
rnacentral:rRNA from 1 species